rnacentral:rRNA from 1 species
CCAGACUCUACGGAGCAGCAGUGGGAUUUGACAUGGGGCAGCUGAUCCAGCAUGCGCGUGUGUGAAGAAGCUUCGGUGUAAGCACUUUGUCCGGAAAGAAAUCGCACUGGUAAUACUGUGUGAUGACGGUACCGGAAGAAUAAGGACCGGCUAACUACGUGCCAGCAGCCGCGGUAAUACGUAGGGUCAAGCGUUAAUCGGAAUUACUGGGCGUAAAGCGUGCGCAGGCGGUUGUGCAAGACCGAUGUGAAAUCCCCGGGCUUAACCUGGGAAUUGCAUUGGUGACUGCACGGCUAGAGUGUGUCAGAGGGAGGUAGAAUUCCACGUGUAGCAGUGAAAUGCGUAGAGAUGUGGAGGAAUACCGAUGGCGAAGGCAGCCUCCUGGGAUAACACUGACGCUCAUGCACGAAAGCGUGGGGAGCAAACAGGAUUAGAUACCCUGGUAGUCCACGCCCUAAACGAUGUCAACUAGUUGUUGGGGAUUCAUUUCCUUAGUAACGUAGCUAACGCGUGAAGUUGACCGCCUGGGGAGUACGGUCGCAAGAUUAAAACUCAAAGGAAUUGACGGGGACCCGCACAAGCGGUGGAUGAUGUGGAUUAAUUCGAUGCAACGCGAAAAACCUUACCUACCCUUGACAUGCCACUAACGAAGCAGAGAUGCAUUAGGUGCUCGAAAGAGAAAGUGGACACAGGUGCUGCAUGGCUGUCGUCAGCUCGU